rnacentral:rRNA from 1 species
GAUGAACGCUGGCGGUAUGCUUAACACAUGCAAGUCGAACGGACUCUUCGGAGUUAGUGGCGGACGGGUGAGUAACGCGUGAGAAUCUGGCUUUGGGUUCGGGACAACCACUGGAAACGGUGGCUAAUACCGGAUGUGCCGAGAGGUAAAAGAGAAAUUGCCUGAAGAUGAGCUCGCGUCUGAUUAGCUAGUUGGUGAGGUAAAGGCUCACCAAGGCAGCGAUCAGUAGCUGGUCUGAGAGGAUGACUAGCCACACUGGGACUGAGACACGGCCCAGACUCCUACGGGAGGCAGCAGUGGGGAAUUUUCCGCAAUGGGCGAAAGCCUGACGGAGCAAUACCGCGUGAGGGAAGAAGGCUCUUGGGUUGUAAACCUCUUUUCUUAGGGAAGAACAAAAUGACGGUACCUAAGGAAUCAGCAUCGGCUAACUCCGUG